UACGAAGGGGGCUAGCGUUGUUCGGAAUUACUGGGCGUAAAGCGCAUGUAGGCGGAUCUAUAAGUCAGAGGUGAAAUCCCCGGGCUCAACCCUGGAAUUGCCUUUGAUACUGUAGAUCUGGAGUCUGGGAGAGGUGAGUGGAAUUCCGAGUGUAGAGGUGAAAUUCGUAGAUAUUCGGAGGAACACCAGUGGCGAAGGCGGCUCACUGGCCCGAGACUGACGCUGAGAUGCGAAAGCGUGGGGAGCAAACAGG
rnacentral:rRNA from 1 species